GACUCUCGGCAACGGAUAUCUCGGCUCUUGCAUCGAUGAAGAACGUAGCGAAAUGCGAUACUUGGUGUGAAUUGCAGGAUCCCGUGAACCAUCGAGUCUUUGAACGCAAGUUGCGCCCGAAGCCGUCAGGCCGAGGGCACGCCUGCCUGGGUGUCACGCAACGUCGCC
rnacentral:rRNA from 1 species